rnacentral:tRNA from 1 species
GGUGUUGUGGUUCACUGGUAAGAGCAUCUGCUUUGCAUGCAGAAGUUGCUGGUUCAAUCCAUGACAUUGCCA